AAGCCACCUGGUGACUCCACUUACCUGAAUGUGUUUCUGCAGAAGUUUAGAAAAAACUGCCAGUACUAAUGCCAUGUUGUGAGUCUUAGGACACUGAAGUCACUAUGGUUCCCAGAAAUGGCUGCAGGA